ACAAACUUUAUAAUCUAUAAAAUGAUAGAACCAUUUAUUACUUGGAAAGGAAGAAACAUGGCUAAAAUUGUAAAGUUUGUUUAUGUUAUGAUUAUCAUAUUUUCUCUAUUUUUUUCUGCUACAAACGUUGAAUGUAAGUUAUUUUUAUCCUUUUCAAAUUUUCUUAUCUAGUUUACAAUAUUUUAAGUAAUAUAACUUACAUUACUUAAUCAUAUUUUAUCCUUACAGCUUUCUAUCCUACUAGACCAUGUUCAUCGGAUAAGUAUUGUCCUCCACAUAGGUGUCCAAAACCAAAGAUAACAGUGUGUAUCAAAGAAUGGUGUAGAUGUGUAGAUGUGUAGAAGCGUAUAUAUCUUCUUAAUUUUAUACUACCUUACUUAUUAAGAAAAUUAAUAAUUAUUAUAUAAAAAAUAGUACUUUUUUAGUAUAAGUUAUUUUGAAAAAAUAUUUUAUAUUAUUAUUUUAUAAUAUAAUUAAUCAUUAAUGUUAUUUUUCCUAUUAUAUCUUUAAAUAUUUUUUA
rnacentral:lncRNA from 1 species